AUUAGCUGAAUGCUAACCUGAUGCAAGUUACAAAUUACACUGAGA
rnacentral:sRNA from 1 species